rnacentral:lncRNA from 1 species
AUCUUGAAAGAGUUUCUUUCUAUCUGGACUUUUUCAAUUUGCAAGAAAGAUGGAUUUCAUCAAUGAUGGUUCUUCGAUGAUAGUUCAAUUUUGGCCGAUUUGAAAUAGUUCGUUCAGAGCUGAGAUGAAUUUUUCGGUAUAUGCCGAGGAUCCGGCUACUAUUUUUGGUUUGAUACAGCAUCCAAUAGUCUUUGGGUUCAUUGCAGAUGUAUGGCCUGAUCCGGUUCAUCUUUUAAAGUUCAGUUGAUGCCGAAGGUAUAUUAAACCGAAGUCGGAAGGG